rnacentral:rRNA from 1 species
AAGAGGAGGAAGGAAUGGGGCAACGGUAGGUCAGCAUGCCCCGAAUUAUCUGGGCUACACGCGGGCUACAAUGGGUGGGACAAUGGGUAUCGACACCGAAAGGUGAAGGCAAUCUCCUAAACCCAUCCGUAGUUCGGAUUGUGGGCUGCAACUCGCCCACAUGAAGCUGGAAUCUGUAGUAAUCGUGUCUCAAAAUGGCACGGUGAAUAUGUCCCUGCUCCUU